rnacentral:rRNA from 1 species
AUUGAACGCUGGCGGUAGGCCUAACACAUGCAAGUCGGGCGAGUGGCGGACGUGUGAGUAAUGUAUGGGGAUCUGCCCUAUGGGGGGGGAUAACUACUGGACGCGGUCUCUAAUACCACAUACCAUCAGAUGAACCCAUAUGGGAUUAGCUUGUAUGUAAGGUAACGGCUUACCUAGGCGACGACCCCUAGCUGGUCUGAGAGUAUGAUCAGCCACACUGGGACUGAGACACGGCCCAGACUCCUACGGGAGGCAGCAGUGGGGAAUAUUGCACAAUGGGCGCAAGCCUGAUGCAGCCAUGCCGCGUGUAUGAAGAAGGCCUUCGGGUUGUAAAGUACUUUCAGUCGGGAGGCGUUACCGACAGAAGAAGCACCGGCUAACUCCGUGCCAGCAGCCGCGGUAAUAC